rnacentral:rRNA from 1 species
GAUGAACGCUGGCGGCGUGCCUAAUACAUGCAAGUCGAACGCAUAGCGAAAGGUGCUUGCACCUUUCAAGUGAGUGGCGAACGGGUGAGUAACACGUGGACAACCUGCCUCAAGGCUGGGGAUAACAUUUGGAAACAGAUGCUAAUACCGAAUAAAACUUAGUGUCGCAUGACACAAAGUUAAAAGGCGCUUCGGCGUCACCUAGAGAUGGAUCCGCGGUGCAUUAGUUAGUUGGUGGGGUAAAGGCCUACCAAGACAAUGAUGCAUAGCCGAGUUGAGAGACUGAUCGGCCCCAUUGGGACUGAGACACGGCCCAAACUCCUACGGGAGGCUGCAGUAGGGAAUCUUCCACAAUGGGCGAAAGCCUGAUGGAGCAACGCCGCGUGUGUGAUGAAGGCUUUCGGGUCGUAAAGCACUGUUGUAUGGGAAGAACAGCUAGAAUAGGAAAUGAUUUUAGUUUGACGGUACCAUACCAGAAAGGGACGGCUAAAUACGUG